GGACAUUGCACGUGUCUCCUCUUGUAAGACUUUGGCUGCAGAACCCAAGUGUGAACCCUGCUCGAGCUUUAAUGAGCAUCUACUAUAAGCUAAGAAGUGCUGUGGGAGACAAAAAGGAGAGUGAAGUACCCAUUGUAUUCUCAUGGAGAUUGGAGUCUAGAAAGAGGGGUCUGGAGAUCAAAGGGGAGCCUGCAUGUGGGAUCUCUUUGGAAACCCUGAAGCACUCUGUGAAUGAAAAGGGUAAAUUUUUCCUCUCUUCCCUUGUACCAUAAACUCCAUGAGAAUGUUUGACAGGGCCUGUUAUGUUGGUCUUUAAAAUUUUUUGAAGUAUAUAUAUAAAAAAAUCACACUGUAAACCUUAAAUAUUUACCAUUUUUAUUUGCCAAGUAAACAUCAGUAAAGAGGGCUAAGUUUUUUUUUAAAUUUUUUUAACAUUUAUUUAUUUUUGAGACAGAGAGAGACAGAGCAUGAA